UUAAAAUGUAAUUAUAAAUACUAAAGUAGUAAUAGUUAUGUUCUUGAAACUUAAAAAAUUUGGCGGUAUUUUAGUCUAUCCAGAGGAACCUGUUUUGUAAUCGAUAAUCCACGAUGGACCUUACUUAAGUUUGUAAUCAGUUUAUAUACCGUCGUUAUCAGAAUAUUUUAUAAGAAUAAUAAUAUUCAAUAAUUUUAAUUAAAAUUUAUAUCAGAUCAAGGUGUAGCUUAUAUUUAAGUAAUAAUGGGUUACAAUAAAUGUAUUUAAACGGAUAAAAUUAUGAAAAAGUUUUUGAAGGUGGAUUUGGUAGUAAAAUUAUAAAGAUAAAUAAUUUGAUUUUAGCUCUAAAAUAUGU
rnacentral:rRNA from 1 species